CAGCCUCUGCCCUCCACCAGCAGCCUCCCACUUGGAAAUGAAAAACCAAUAGCCUAAGGCCCACCUCCUCCCACUUCCAAACACGUGUAACCACGAGCCUCUGGGAUAGUCCUUGCAGAUCUGGUGGCACGUGCCAAACGCGUGACGUCAUACGUCACGCACAGGGCAGAGCCACGCCAGUUGGAACCUGGGACAGACAUUGGUCUCCAGGCGCAGGAAGGACACGGCCAAAAUGAUGGGAUGCCACUUUCAAGAUUCGGUUACAGAAAGACUGUGGCUCCUCUCUCUCUCUCUCUCUUUGAGGGAAGCCAGCUGCCAUGUUGUGACUUUCCUGUGGAGAGACCGAUAUAGCAAGGAACUGAUGUCUCUGAUUGACAGCAGUGUGGAACUGGGACCUGCUGACAGCCAUGUAAGUGUGCUGAGCAGCUGAUCCUGCCCCAGGCAGGCCUUAAGAUGACUGCAGCUCUGCAGACACCUUGAAUGUAGGUAACUUUGGGAGAGACCUUGAGCCAGAGGAACCCAAAGAAGCUGCACCUAGAUUCCUGACACACAGAAAUGAAUCAUAAACUUUUCCCACUACUCUGAAGAGUUGGACAUAAUGACCAGUAAAAACAGGAUUUUUGUCCGACAUGGCAACCAUUCCAAUAACAAAUACCGAUGAUCCUUUCGUUUCUGUUCACCUAUAAAAAGAAUUGACAGCAUUGCAGCCUUGCAGUUUAGAAGAAAUCCACUAGAAGAAAUCCACUAGAAGAAAGAAGUAAUAAACUGUCAGCUACUUCUCUGGGAAGAAUUACCUAAGUAAUAAAAUGAAUAAAGUCAACUUUUCUCAUGACUGACUGUAUGGUUACUGACCUUGGCAUGUGACUCUGCUUAGGUUAUUCUAUGUGAAGUACAUGCAUGCUCUUGUUGUAAAAACAAAAAGAUGCUAAUCUUGAAUUUUAUGAUUUUUCUGUGAAUUUGCAAGCUUUAUCUCUCAUUAGAUAAGUUAAUACAAUAUAAAUACUUUUUUUACCAGGCAGGUUUCUAGGCACGUAGAUCGGCAGUUUAUCUGUGUUGCCUCCUAUCUCCUCUUUCUUUCCUCUCUCCCCGCCUCUCUCACCCCAGCAGUCAGCCCUGAUGCCCUAUUCAACAGCACAGGACUCCACUAUGGUGUUUUCCUAAGCUUGCUCUCUAGAGCACAGCCCUAGUACCAGAUCUGUAGUCUCCAAACUUUUUUUGGCUGAAUACCCGAUAAGAAAGAAUUUUGAACACACUCUCAAUAUCUUUAUAAAUUACAUGCAUAUAUUCCUGUUAAUAUAUAAUGAAUACAAUAAAACAUACAGAAAUAAAGAUAUAAAUAGAUGAAAUAAAGAUGAAGCAAAUUAUAUUUUAAA